rnacentral:rRNA from 1 species
AUUGAACGCUGGCGGCAUGCCUUACACAUGCAAGUCGAACGGUAACGCGGGGCAACCUGGCGACGAGUGGCGAACGGGUGAGUAAUGCAUCGGAACGUGCCCAGUAGUGGGGGAUAGCCCGGCGAAAGCCGGAUUAAUACCGCAUACGACCUACGGGUGAAAGCGGGGGACCGUAAGGCCUCGCGCUAUUGGAGCGGUCGAUGUCAGAUUAGGUUGUUGGUGGGGUAAACGCCUACCAAGCCGACGAUCUGUAGCUGGUCUGAGAGGACGACCAGCCACAAUGGGACUGAGAAACGGCCCAGACUCCUACGGGAGGCAGCAGUGGGGAAUUUUGGACAAUGGGGGCAACCCUAAUCCAGCCAUGCCGCGUGCGGGAAGAAGGCCUUCGGGUUGUAAACCGCUUUUGUCAGGGAAGAAACGCUCUGGGCUAAUACCCCGGGGUAAUGACGGUACCUGAAGAAUAAGCACCGGCUAACUACGUGCCAGCCGCCGCGGUAAAAC